AGCGAACGCUGGCGGCAUGCCUAACACAUGCAAGUCGAACGAGACCUUCGGGUCUAGUGGCGCACGGGUGCGUAACGCGUGGGAACCUGCCCUUAGGUUCGGAAUAACUCCCCGAAAGGGGUGCUAAUACCGGAUAAUGUCUUCGGACCAAAGAUUUAUCGCCUUUGGAUGGGCCCGCGUUGGAUUAGCUAGUUGGUAGGGUAAAAGCCUACCAAGGCGACGAUCCAUAGCUGGUCUGAGAGGAUGAUCAGCCACACUGGGACUGAGACACGGCCCAGACUCCUACGGGAGGCAGCAGUGGGGAAUAUUGGACAAUGGGCGAAAGCCUGAUCCAGCAAUGCCGCGUGAGUGAUGAAGGCCUUAGGGUUGUAAAGCUCUUUUACCCGGGAUGAUAUUGACAGUACCGGGAGAAUAAGCUCCGGCUAACUCCGUG
rnacentral:rRNA from 1 species